rnacentral:piRNA from 1 species
UGACUUUGAAACUCUGAUGUGAUUGUCUUC